CCUACCUGUCAAAAAAAAAAUGUAUUUUGGGCUAUUUGAAGAUCAAGACGUGAAUAAAUUUUUGUGUGAAGUGCAAAAAUGCUUUAUGUUUAUCAAUUUCAUAUCCAUGUAGUUCUCGUAUUGGAAAACUAAGUUUCAAAUAAUAUGUUUUCAAAUUGUCUUUUUGAGUAAAUUGGAAGAUAUUUUUAUUUCAAUUUGCUUUGAAAAUGAGAACAAUGUUUGUACCACAUGAAAAGAAUGGUAAAAAGAAGUUCCAAAAACCAAACAUACUCAGAAAAAAACCAAAGCUUGCAGCAAAAACAAAUGUGCUCGAAGCCUUUGAAUCUCCUGAUACUGCAUCUUUGGUCAGUGAAUGUUUUAUAAAAGAAACAACAGAUGAAACUCAAUCUGAAGGCAUGGCGACAUUAAGUCUUCACUCUCACUUGGAGCACCAAACACCAGCCACUAGAGAUGAACUAAACAAUGAAUUACAGAUGCCAUCAGAAAGUACUGAUCAUAAAUAUAUUUUCAAUAAUAAUGGAAUGUUAGAGUCAGAAGGUUUAGGAGAGAAUGUGCAAUCAAAAAGCAAUGAAGAAAAUUCCAAUGAAGCACUUGUUAACAUAGAAUCAUUUUUUAGUGAUGCCACAGCAGAGAAUGUCAUGCUGUAUGAUAUAGACUGUGAUCCAGGAACAUCAAUUGAAGCAUUGGUAGUUAUAGAUAAUGAAUCCCCAGUGUCAAAUGUGUUGAUGGAGCACACCCAAGAUGAAGUCAACAACAGCCUGCCCUUGUCGACCGUGUCAAAUGAGUAUCCAGAUUUAAAUCAGACUGAUCGGCCAGCUGCAUCUCACCUUCAAAAUUUCUAUUCACAGUUUACUCCCAUUAAAUAUCAGUGUAAGGUACCUAAUUGCAAUAAAGAAUUCAGGAGUGAGCAAAAAUUUAAGAAGCAUCAAAAUACUCAUUGUGAGGAUGGGUCCAUAAGAGCGCCGCGGCAAGUAACCGUGGAAUGUCCCGUAAAGCGGAUAGAGGCUGAUGGUACAGAACAGUCGUGCGGCAAAAUAUUUCUUGUCAGAGAUCAGUUGAUCAAACAUUUGAAUGAAGAUCAUACUUUGGAUGAUGCAGUAUACAGGUGCGAGGAGUGCGGGCGGCGUUUCUUCUGGUCGUCGGGGCUGCGUGCCCACGUGCGCGCGCACUGCCGCCAGGCGGCGACGGCGGGGGCGGGGCCGGCGGGGCGGGGGGCGGGGCGCGCGCGGGCGCCGCUGGUGUGCGCGUGGGCCGGCUGCGGCCGCGUGUUCCGCCAGCCCUGCCGCCUGCGCGAGCACGCGCGCGCGCACACCGGCGACCGGCCCUAUCCCUGCGACUACCCUAACUGCGGCUGGUCGUUCCGGUCGGCCAGCAAGCUGAUGCGUCACGCGCGGAGACACACGGGCGAGCGCAAGCACGCGUGCACGGCGUGCGACCAGGCCUUCCUGCGCCGCGAGCACCUGCGCGACCACGUGGCGCGCUACCACGCGCUGCGCCGCGCGCACCCCUGCCACCACCCCGGUUGUGAACAAACCUUCAACAACAUGAGCACGCUGUAUCUGCAUAUGAAGAAAGUGCACAAGAAUAAAGACAGCCCGUCAGCGACGACCACCAGCGAAACCGAAUCAUUCUUCACGCUCGAGAAGACUGAUGAUAAUAUGUUUUUGGUGAACGUAUCGCCCGAGUGUGGUUUGUCGGACGACGUUUCGGCGGAGGGUGGCUUGGUUUUGGCGGAGACGGGAGCGGAGGAGUUAGCGGAGGUGGGAGCGGAGACGGAAGCGGAGACGGAGGCGGAGGGCGAGUGGCACUCGGCGCGCACGCACUGCACCUGGCCGCUUGAGGGCCGCGCGGGGCACUGCGACAUCAAUGACGAUGAUAAUCUGCUCAAAGAUGAUUCACAUGUCGAGCAGCUGGAAGGUUCGGAGAGCAACACUUACACUGUGCGGAGCGAUCUGUUUCUCCAUGGAAACGUUAUGAUAAAUGACGAUAGCCAGCACAUGGGCGCGUGCGGGGGCGCGGGCGCGGAGGGCGCGGGCGCGGGCGCGGGCUCGCCGCUGGGCGCCGGCCUGGGCCUGCUCGACGCGCACCCCACCAUCGAUCUCAUGCAGGAAGAGUUGAUGUACGCUGACACAGCGGCAGACGAGUCCUCUUUCCGAAUAUUCCUGCUCAGCGGGGAAGAACUGACUUAAUGUUAACUCCAGCCACAGGCGGCUCUAGACGAAUUAUGCAGCUUGUUGUCGCGACCUCUGCUAUGUACGAGCUUCGACCUAUGCUCGUCACGCCCUUUUUGUGGUGAGUCAUAGUAAAUAGAUCGUGAUUUGUUUCGAUUCAGAGGACCUUUUUUAGCUCUCCCGUUCAACGAAUACGAUUCAGUGCAAUAUAGCAGAGGUCAGUGCUCUUUAUAACGGGAUCACUACUAUUUUUAAUAUUUUGUAUUCGUCUGCUGCUAAUAUUCUGAUUGUAUCUAAUUCAAUUCAAGUGAUGAAAUUUAGUCUAAAAAUGAAAAAUUAUACCUAGUUAAUGUAGGUUUAUAAAUUUACUGUCGUGAAUACUUAUGAAGAUGUGUAGUUUUGUUAUAGUAAUGAUAGUAGAGGAAAUCUACUUUGUAAAAUUAUAAAUUUGUAUUAGGUAUUUUACUAUUAAAAGGCCGGGUUGAAAUGUGUACAUUCUAAGGGAUUCGAUGAAAUAUUUAGUGUUAAAUGAUCUGCGAAGCGGAUUCAAAUUAUAUCACAAAUAAUUAGGCUUGAUACAAGGGAAUGCAAACGACGACAAAGUCAGGACAAGGCUCGUCACUCGCACUCUAUCUUGGCGAGUAGCGUGAGCAGGCUAGGCAUAGCAAUUAAUUAGUGUAAGCAACUUUAUACUGUAAGUUAACGACUCUGACACGUAUUUAACUCACUAAUAAUAAUCGUUAGUAUGAGUUGUUAAAAUAAUGUAUACCUAGCGCAUGAAAUAACUUACGUAUGAAGGUAUAGAAACAAUUUAAUGUUUCAUUUAUUACAUAAAAAAGGAACAACACUAUAUUACAUAGUAGAUUUUCAUAAAAGUGGCCCAGUUUAUAGCGCAGUGUUUGGUAGUAACUUUAAAACUUAAAUUGGGCGUUAUUAAUUUUAAAUAUUGCUUGAUAUUUAUUUGUUGUUAUACUAAAAAGUACCUUAUGUAUGCCUUAUUUUACAGUUAAACUAUACUUAACAAUUUAUACUUAUGUAUACAUAUUUAUUUAAAGUUAGGAAUAAAUACGAUAAGGUGUAUAAUGAAUUUCUGUAUAAUAUUAAUAAUCUUUUAAUGCAAGGAAUCUAUUACUAUUUAAUUACGAUCUAUGGCUAUUUAAAUAAUAAACCGGGUUUAAAAGUUAACUUUAACAAUAGUACAAAGUUUAAUCGUAUGUGGCUAUUGCGUUUUCUUAAUGAAACCCAGAAAAAUGUUUGUAGUGCAAUAUUCGACUUUACAAUUUUCUAUGUAAUAAUUAGAAAACUGUGAGUGCCUGUUAGGUAAAAAAAUCGAUACCUGAGAGACUAGUUGACCUUCCCUCUUCCAUCGGGUAAAUUCAAUUAGGUAAGAAUAUUUGCCAAUUAUUUCCUAAAUUCGAUAUUUACUGUAGUGAAAACGAAUAAUUUAGAAAUACUGAGCAUUUACUUAAUUGUGAAUUGUAAUAAGUGUAUUGUUAGUUCAACGAUUAGGGCCGAUCCUCUGGAUGUGGACGGCGCCUUUCAGCUCAAAGGAGACGUCCCAAGUAAUAAUGCUAAGGUGUACCUUCUUUGAUAGGAACGUAGAAACGCAUGUUGUGUUUUCACUGUAUCCUAGUAAUGUGAUUCUAAUGGCCUAAAAGUCGGAUUUUUACUUCGAGAUCAUAAAUCUAAACAAUGAACCGUCGUUUUCAAACACUUCCUUCAUUUAUUUUCGUUGAAUUUAUUAAAUGUAUACCGAAUGUUGACUUGAAUUUGGUACCUACCUACUAAAAUAUUUAAGAAACCUUUGCAUAUUUAUAAUCUCAAUUUUAUAAAAAUCUGACUAUAAAUAAGCUUAGAUGUGAUGUGUAAAUGAAAGCAUAGCCUAAAAAGGCUCGUUAAUGUAGACAUACGCUAGGUUAUGCUCACGCGGAACUGAAAGCUAGGCGUGAGACUGGUUUCGGCGUACAUGCUUCGUUUUGGCGUUAUAAUGUAUAUUGAAAAGUUGCGUGAAAUGCAGGAAUAGUACUCAACAGCGCAUCAGACUGCAUUUAUUAGAAAAUAGUACAUAUUACUACGACAAAAGAUGCCAAAUGCUUAGCUUGAUGUGCUGUAGUCUGUACUUGCCAUGCUUUGCUCCGUGUGUGCACGAACAUGCAUUUAGGAUGGUGUCAAUUUUCGAAGUUGAAUAUUUGAAGUGUUACCAUUUGUUUCAUCGAACAUGAUGUGGUCGGACAAA